CGCCUGGGGAGUACGGCCGCAAGGUUAAAACUCAAAUGAAUUGACGGGGGCCCGCACAAGCGGUGGAGCAUGUGGUUUAAUUCGACGCAACGCGAAGAACCUUACCUGGCCUUGACAUCCAGAGAGCUUUCCAGAGAUGGAUUGGUGCCUUCGGGAACUCUGAGACAGGUGCUGCAUGGCCGUCGUCAGCUCGUGUCGUGAGAUGUUGGGUUAAGUCCCGUAACGAGCGCAACCCCUAUCCCUGGUUGCUAGCAGGUAAUGCUGAGAACUCCAGGGAGACUGCCGGUGACAAACCGGAGGAAGGUGGGGAUGACGUCAGGUCAUCAUGGCCCUUACGGCCAGGGCUACACACGUGCUACAAUGGUGCGCACAGAGGGCUGCAAACCCGCGAGGGGGAGCCAAUCUCACAAAACGCAUCGUAGUCCGGAUCGCAGUCUGCAACUCGACUGCGUGAAGUCGGAAUCGCUAGUAAUCGUGAAUCAGAAUGUCACGGUGAAUACGUUCCCGGGCCUUGUACACACCGCCCGUCACACCAUGGGAGUGGAUUGCACCAGAAGUGGUUAGUCUAACCUUCGGGAGGACGAUCACCACGGUGUGGUUCAUGACUGGGGUGAAGUCGUAACCAAGGUAACCGUA
rnacentral:rRNA from 1 species